UGCUUGCCAAAGUUCAAACAAAUGACUCACAGAGUAAAACUUCAGCUCUCUUUGAAACGGUUCAGCUAAUCUUUUGCUCCCCAUGGAGCGUGAGCAGUCCCAAAGCUCCUUAUAUAUCUUGUGGGGUGGGGCUCCUGCCCCACCCUUCCCUUUGAUGAUGCCGCCUCUCUAAUCUUCUGAAGCGCAGGUUAAUCCAAGCUUGAUUAUUAUUAUUAUUAUCAGCUGGGUCUGAAGGCGUAGCCUGGGGAAGGGAGGAAUCAGGGGAUGACGGCCUCAUUACGUCCUCCGACUGGCCUGGUUCUGGCUCCUGGAGCCGGGCCAAAGGAAUCGGUGCUCCCAAGGAACUAACCAGAGAGAGGAUGUUCCUGACUCCAAACAGACAUUGCAAAGUCUGCUGCCACCUAGGGACACAAGUCAGCAAUGACAGUAUCCACCCAUCUCCUGAAACGGAAGAGCAGGUAUACCAGUGAUGGUUAACCUUUUCGGCACCAAGUGCCAAAACUGGAGCGUGUGCGCUGGAGUCCCAGAACCUGAAAGAGAGCAGCUGGCCGGUGCGCAUGUGUGCGACAGACCCAGAAGAGCAGCUGGUGAUGGCACGCAGUACGACAGAGAGGGUUCUGCGUGCCAUAGGUUCACCUUCAUGGAGGUGCAACUUCCAAUCUUGGCAACUUCAAGGCUUGUGGACUUCAGCUCCCAGAAUUCCCCAGCGAUCCAUGUUGAAAACCAACUUUGGGAUUUGAGAAUCAGAUCUGAUCUGACCACAGAAAUAUUGUGGUUUUUAAAAUUUAGGGUUAUUCAUAUUUGACAAUUUAUUAUAUGUUUAAGAUUAAAAUUAAAAGAAAAAUAUAAGAUGAUAUUGAUUUUUUAAAGAAUAUUUAU